CCUACGGGAGGCAGCAGCAAGGAAUUUUCGUCAAUGGGCGCAAGCUGAACGAGCAACGCCGCGUGCGGGAUGACGGCCUUCGGGUUGUAAACCGCUUUUUGGGGGGACGAUCAUGACGGUACCCCCGGAAUAAGCCCCGGCUAACUCUGUGCCAGCAGCCGCGGUAAGACAGAGGGGGCAAGCGUUGUCCGGAAUCACUGGGCGUACAGCGCACGCAGGUGGCCGAUUAAGUGCCUUGUGAAAGCCCCGCGCUCAACGCGGGGAGGCCAGGGCAGACUGGUGGGCUGGAGGGCUGGAGAGGGUGGUGGAAUUGCCGGUGUAGUGGUGAAAUGCGUAGAGAUCGGCAGGAACACCAAGGGCGAAGGCAGCCACCUGGACAGCGCCUGACACUCAAGUGCGACAGCGUGGGGAGCGAACCGGAUUAGAUACCCGGGUAGUCCACGCCGUAAACGAUGGACGCUCGGCGUUCGGGGGGUAAGGCCUCCUGGGCGCCUCAGCUGAACGCGGAAGCGUCCCGCCUGGGAACUACGAGCGCAAGCUUAAAACUCAAAUGAAUUGACGG
rnacentral:rRNA from 1 species